AUUGAACGCUGGCGGCAGGCCUAACACAUGCAAGUCGAACGAGUGGCGGACGGGUGAGUAAUGUCUGGGAAACUGCCCGAUGGGGGGGGAUAACUACUGGAAACGGUCGCUAAUACCGCAUACCAUCGGAUGUGCCCAGAUGGGAUUAGCUAGUAGGUGGGGUAACGGCUCCCCUAGGCGACGAUCCCUAGCUGGUCUGAGAGGAUGACCAGCCACACUGGAACUGAGACACGGUCCAGACUCCUACGGUAGGCAGCAGUGGGGAAUAUUGCACAAUGGGCGCAAGCCUGAUGCAGCCAUGCCGCGUGUAUGAAGAAGGCCUUAGGGUUGUAAAGUACUUUCAGCGGGGAGGCGUUACCCGCAGAAGAAGCACCGGCUAACUCCGUGCCAGCAGCCGCGGUAAUUC
rnacentral:rRNA from 1 species